CGCUGUGAUCGACGUGAGUUUUUGGACCGACGCGUCGGCGCCUAGUACUGUCCUUUCCUUUAUGGGUUUUCGUUGGUUUUUUUACUUUUCUUUUGUUUUAUGUUCUUUUUGUAAUCAUGGUUUUCUAUUAUUUUCUUUUUGUUUUUUAUUAUUUUCAUUUUCAAAUACUUUUUGGAAUGUUGAACAUUGUCCAUAUAAAGGUUAAGCAUUCUUUACAA
rnacentral:lncRNA from 1 species